GAGGGUAUAACUCAGUGGUAGAGUGAAUGCCUAGCAUGCAUGAGGUACUGGGUUCAAUCCCCAAUGCCUCCA
rnacentral:tRNA from 1 species